GGGUUGUGAGGUUAAGCGACUAAGCGUACACGGUGGAUGCCCUGGCAGUCAGAGGCGAUGAAGGACGUGCUAAUCUGCGAUAAGCGCCGGUAAGGUGAUAUGAACCGUUAUAACCGGCGAUUUCCGAAUGGGGAAACCCAGUGUGAUUCGUCACACUAUCAUUAACUGAAUCCAUAGGUUAAUGAGGCGAACCGGGGGAACUGAAACAUCUAAGUACCCCGAGGAAAAGAAAUCAACCGAGAUUCCCCCAGUAGCGGCGAGCGAACGGGGAGGAGCCCAGAGCCUGAAUCAGCAUAUGUGUUAGUGGAAGCGUCUGGAAAGGCGCGCGAUACAGGGUGACAGCCCCGUACACAAAAGCGCAUGUGCUGUGAGUUCGAUGAGUAGGGCGGGACACGUGGUAUCCUGUCUGAAUAUGGGGGGACCAUCCUCCAAGGCUAAAUACUCCUGACUGACCGAUAGUGAACCAGUACCGUGAGGGAAAGGCGAAAAGAACCCCGGCGAGGGGAGUGAAAAAGAACCUGAAACCGUGUACGUACAAGCAGUGGGAGCACCCUUUGGGGUGUGACUGCGUACCUUUUGUAUAAUGGGUCAGCGACUUAUAUUCUGUAGCAAGGUUAACCG
rnacentral:rRNA from 1 species